rnacentral:rRNA from 1 species
CAAAAAGACAGUCUCAGUUCGGAUUGAAGGCUGAAAUUCGCCUUCAUGAAGCCGGAAUUGCUAGUAAUGGCAGGUCAGCAUACUGCCGUGAAUACGUUCCCGGGCCUUGUACACACCGCCCGUCACACCAUGAGAGUUGGAGAUACCCGAAGCCUAUGAGCUAACUUUUAGAGGCAGUAGUCGAAGGUAGAAUCAAUGAUUGGGGUGAAGUCGUAACAAGGUAUC